rnacentral:rRNA from 1 species
UACGGAGGGGGCUAGCGUUGUUCGGAAUUACUGGGCGUAAAGCGCACGUAGGCGGCUUUGUAAGUUAGAGGUGAAAGCCCGGGGCUCAACCCCGGAAUAGCCUUUAAGACUGCAUCGCUUGAACGUCGGAGAGGUGAGUGGAAUUCCGAGUGUAGAGGUGAAAUUCGUAGAUAUUCGGAAGAACACCAGUGGCGAAGGCGGCUCACUGGACGACUGCUGACGCUGAGGUGCGAAAGCGUGGGGAGCAAACAGG